rnacentral:piRNA from 1 species
GGGCUCUUUGUUUGGCAGGAGCUGCCAUCCU